rfam:TPA: Bos taurus chromosome 8, whole genome shotgun sequence.
UCCCUCAUGGUCCAGUGGUUAGGACUCCACACUCCCAAUGCAGGGAGCCUGGGUUUAAUCCCUGGUUGGGGAA